AUUGAACGCUGGCGGCAGGCCUAACACAUGCAAGUCGAACGAGUGGCGGACGGGUGAGUAAUGUCUGGGAAACUGCCUGAUGCAGGGGGAUAACUACCGGAAACGGUAGCUAAUACCGCAUAUCAUAAGAUGUGCCCAGAUGGGAUCAGCUAGUUGGUGGGGUAACGGCUUACCAAGGCGACGAUCCAUAGCUGGUCUGAGAGGAUGACCAGCCACACGGGAACAGGGAAACAGUCCAGACUCCUACGGGAGGCAGCAGGGGGGAAUAUUGCACAAUGGGAGCGAGCCUGAUGCAGCCAUGCCGCGGGUAGGAAGAAGGCCUUGGGGUUGUAAAGUACUUUCAGCGGGGAGGCGUUACCCGCAGGAGAAGCACCGGCUAACUCCGUGCCAGCAGCCGCGGUAAUAC
rnacentral:rRNA from 1 species